GAAGCACUGGUUACUUCCCCCGUCCUCUCAGCUCUGGGAAGGGUGGGGUGGUCAUGAAGUCCUGAGAGAGCAGAGGGACACACCAACUUCUCUUGUUGGUUCCCUCAACCCUGCCCAUACCUAUGGGUAAUCAGAGAUGGAUUCAGUCUCCAGUUAGGAUCCUCAUCAAGGUAUUUGUAUGGGGGAUUCCAUGCAGAUGGUGUAUAGAGAGAAGAUAGACACAAGGGAUCUUCAUAGCCAAGGACUGGAUUUGAACAAGUCAGUCUCCAGCUAUGUUUUAGACACUGAGGACUGUGCCCGUCAUCCCUUAGAGCUUCUCUCUGGGCCACUGGCUCGAAGGGCACAUCUCAGGGAAAAAGGUCAGUGUGAUUCCCUUAUUUCUUUGUGGAAAGACCUCAGUAGCCAAAGGUGUUUGCCCGUGUUAUUUGUCUGAACAAGAUCUUCUCUAGGACAGCUAGGUCCACAGGACAGCACCAAGAGUUACUCUGCAUGCUUAUAGUACCUGCUUACGAACAGAAACAGAGGCAAUAUUCACAUGAAAGCUCAAAUGUGGAUCUCUCCUACCAUAGUCACGUCUUCACAAGCUGACAGCCCUCUCAAUUCUGAGAUUUGUUAUUCAGUCUUUUCCCAAUAGGAUCUACAAAGCACCUCUUGACCAUUUAUCAUGCAUGGAACCAACAUGUCAAAUUCCUCAAUAACUGAUUCCCGCCUAGGAUCACACUCAUUGACUAGCUCCGCCAAUUCUUACAAUUCAUUCAGGCUCUGCUACAAGCAUACAGCUUUGCUAGAAGUAGAUUUCUUCUAGGAAAUUUCAUGCUACUGAGAGGUUGUGUGGCAGAGCCAUGUUGCCAUUCUUCCAGCAUGACUUGAUAGCUAAGUUGAACACUAUCCCAAGGAGAUGCCUCCUUGACAACUUACACUGCAAAGUGAAUCAUAACCCUGACCCUGGAGACUGCUAUAACGGGCUCCUGUGAGAGUUCUAUUUGCAGAACCCAGAAUUCACAACGGAACAUCAACAUAUCCAAAAGACAAGUUUCAAUGAACAGAUUCUCAGCAAAAGGACUCUAAGGAUGCAGAGGAAGGGAAGUCACCCAAUCUGGGAAGGAGGGACAUGGAUGAAUCUGG
rnacentral:lncRNA from 1 species